rnacentral:rRNA from 1 species
UCCGGUUGAUCCUGCCGGACCUGACUGCUAUCGGAUUGAUACUAAGCCAUGCGAGUCAUUGUAGCAAUACAAGGCAGACGGCUCAGUAACGCGUAGUCAACCUAACCUAUGGACGGGAAUAACCUCGGGAAACUGAGAAUAAUGCCCGAUAGAACAUUAUACCUGGAAUGGUUUAUGUUCCAAAUGAUUUAUCGCCGUAGGAUGGGACUGCGGCCUAUCAGUUUGUUGGUGAGGUAAUGGCCCACCAAGACUAUUACAGGUACGGGCUCUGAGAGGAGUAGCCCGGAGAUGGGUACUGAGACACGGACCCAGGCCCUAUGGGGCGCAGCAGGCGAGAAAACUUUGCAAUGUGCGAAAGCACGACAAGGUUAAUCCGAGUGGUUUCUGCUAAAGGAACCUUUUGUUAGUCCUAGAAACACUAACGAAUAAGGGGUGGGCAAGUUCUGGUGUCAGCCGCCGCGGUAAAACCAGCACCUCAAGUGGUCAGGAUGAUUAUUGGGCCUAAAGCAUCCGUAGCCGGCUCUGUAAGUUUUCGGUUAAAUCUGUACGCUCAACGUACAGGCUGCCGGGAAUACUGCAGAGCUAGGGAGUGGGAGAGGUAGACGGUACUCGGUAGGAAGGGGUAAAAUCCUUUGAUCUAUUGAUGACCACCUGUGGCGAAGGCGGUCUACCAGAACACGUCCGACGGUGAGGGAUGAAAGCUGGGGGAGCAAACCGGAUUAGAUACCCGGGUAGUCCCAGCUGUAAACUAUGCAAACUCAGUGAUGCAUUGGCUUGUGGCCAAUGCAGUGCUGCAGGGAAGCCGUUAAGUUUGCCGCCUGGGAAGUACGUACGCAAGUAUGAAACUUAAAGGAAUUGGCGGGGGAGCACCACAAGGGGUGAAGCCUGCGGUUCAAUUGGAGUCAACGCCAGAAAUCUUACCCGGAGAGACAGCAGAAUGAAGGUCAAGCUGAAGACUUUACCAGACAAGCUGAGAGGUGGUGCAUGGCCGUCGCCAGCUCGUGCCGUGAGAUGUCCUGUUAAGUCAGGUAACGAGCGAGAUCCCUGCCUCUAGUUG